rnacentral:rRNA from 1 species
CGGACGGGUGAGUAACGCGUGGACAACCUGCCCUAUGCAGGGGGAUAACAUCCGGAAACGGGUGCUAAUACCGCAUAAGCGCACAGUACCGCAUGGUACAGUGUGAAGAGCUGAGGCGGCAUAGGAUGGGUCCGCGUUGGAUUAGGCAGUUGGCGGGGUAACGGCCCACCAAACCGACGAUCCAUAGCCGGCCUGAGAGGGUGGACGGCCACAUUGGGACUGAGACACGGCCCAGACUCCUACGGGAGGCAGCAG